rnacentral:rRNA from 1 species
AAAUAAUAUGGUUUAAUUUAAUUAGUAUAAAUUAAUUUACAAUAAUUAAUUUUAAGUUAAGGCUUAUUAGGUGAAAUUUUUAAGUUUUAUAAAAAUUAUUUUUUUGUUAAUGAGGUUAAAAAAUUUAAAUGAUAAACUAGGAUUAGAUACCCUAUUAUUUUAAAUGUAUUUUUAUAUGCUAAAUUAGUAUUAGUUAUGUUCUUGAAAAUUAAAGAUUUUGGCGGUAUUUUAGUCUAUUCAGAGGAACCUGUUCUAUAAUUGAUAAUCCACGAUUUAAUUUACUUUUUUUCUUAGUUUGUAUAUCGUCGUAAUUUGAAUAUUUUUUAAGAAUAAUAAUAUUCAAGAUUUUUUAUAAUAAAAAUAAAUCAGAUCAAGGUGCAGCGUAUAAAAAAGAAGAAAUGGGUUACAAUAAAAUUAUUUAGGGAUUAUUAUUUAUAAGGUAAUAUGAAUUUGGAUUUGAAAGUAAAUUUAAUUAAUUAGUUAUAUUGAUUUUGGCUCUAAAAU